rnacentral:rRNA from 1 species
UACGGGGGGGGCAAGCGUUGUUCGGAAUUACUGGGCGUAAAGGGUUCGUAGGUGGCUUGCUAAGUCAGACGUGAAAUCCCUCAGCUUAACUGGGGAACUGCGUCUGGGACUGGCAAGCUCGAGUGCAGGAGAGGAACGCGGAAUUCCGGGUGUAGCGGUGAAAUGCGUAGAUAUCUGGAGGAACACCGGUGGCGAAGGCGGCGUUCUGGACUGCAACUGACACUGAUGAACGAAAGCCAGGGGAGCAAACGGG